CCUAAACAGUUCUGUGUUCUGAAAACCUCUGGACACAUUCAGAAUCUUUUGCUGGUAGCAGAUGUCUCUCUUAAACAUUACUUUGUGACUGAGAAAGAAGAGGAAACCAGACAUGUUCCCUGAAAUAUCUCAGGAUUCUAAAAGACAGCACCCUGGGACAACCGGAUUUUCCUAUGUCUGGCUCAAGCUUUACUGAGUUAUACUGGUCUAAGCACACCUUGAUUUAUCCAACUUGCCCACUAAACUGGAGCUCUACAUUCCCUCUGUACAGCAUAGCCAUACCAAAGCAAGCUGAAUGCAGAUGACUGAGACCUGCUCUCUCAAGCACUCUGCUCCUCCCUGGUCCUGGGGAAAAAUUAUGCUUUUUAUUUAAUGAACGAAGAAAUUCAGAGAGAAACAAAGCAAUAUUGGCACCUGAUAGUAUUCAUAAUUUGAUAUCAUCUUUAAUAUCAUAAACUGGAUCUUUUUACAUAAAAUUGAGGGGUCCUAUGUAAACUGUGUGUUUAUAAGAAUAAUAAUCUUUUAAAAUAAAAUUUGAAUUAUCAC
ensembl:lncRNA